rnacentral:pre_miRNA from 1 species
GGCCUCCCUCUGUGGGGCGAUUGAUCGCCAGGCCCCAGAUCAAUUGCCCUGCAGAGGGAGGCC